AGCGAAGGGGUGGGGUGGGAUCUUGGUCCAGCUGGUACUGGAGCGGCGACAAUUUUGGCUAGUCUAAGAAGGGCAUUCGAGUGACCGUUGACAACGGGUGGGACAGCGUCAGAGCUGGAGGGAGAGCCAGCACUGUAUGCUUCCAGGACUUCUUGCUAGGUGCAUUAGUUUUUAUUUUUAAGAGUUGGGUAAAAGACAUUAAUUAGUUAGCAUCUCACUCAUCGGCGAUUUUCUACGGUAUGAUUUCAUCCAAAGAGGAUUUCUUAAUCGCACUGUGUGACACCGUUAGGGGACUUAGAGUGUCACUCGCCGCCUUAAAUCCUUUCGGGAACAAGCCAGGAUAUAAAUAAAUAAAGCUAGGUGUGGGUCUUCCCUUCACAAGGCGCUGGUAGGCAGACUAAAGACAGGCAACAGCUGAGUGUGCACACAGAACUAAAUAUUGAACGAAAUACGAGUGUCGGAAUAAAAUUCAUUGCCAUGUGCACGGCUUAUGAUUAUACAGAUCUUGGACAUAUCACGGACCUGAACGUCAACCCUGCAACACCGGAUAAAACAUCUAAUGUAGCUGGAAUAGACUCUGAAAGGACGUUAGGCAUUAUCUAAAUCAAGUCCCUCAUUUUACAGAUGAGUAAACUGACUCAGUGAAGUAUUUUGCUCAAGGUCGUUCAUCAAAUUAGUAGUUUAAUUAACUCAGUGUUCUAGGAAGCAGGGUAGUAGAAAAGCAUGGGAUUCGGAGUCUGAAAUCUUCCUUGGUUUCUGGUCCUUGUAGGCUGUUUUACAAGUGUAUCUUGGGCAAAUCCCUUAACGUCUUGCCAUUUAUUAAGGGCUUACUUACCACGUGGCAAACAAUCCACUUUGCAUGCUGUGUCAAUUACAUGCAGUAUGUCGUGUAGUUAUUACUGUCCCCAUUUUAUGAGGUAGUUUAGGUUUAAAGAUAUUAGAAAUUUACCCAAAGUUACGCAGUUAUAAACAUUGUAGUAAUUUCAAACUCAGGUCUUCGUGACUGCAAAGGCUGCUGUCUUAAGUAUUGUAAUACAUUAGAGCUCCGGAUUCCCUCCCACUCAAAACAGAGACUGAGACUCCAACCAAUUUCCACCAUUAUUGGGAGUCAAACGAGAGAGACUGUGGCAAUGUAUUCUAAGCUGUACAAAGGUAUAAACAUAUUCACUAGAUUUGUAGAAUGAAGUUAUUCCUUCCCUAUACUUUCCACUACAACAAUUCAGCCAAAAAGAUGGCUUUCAUACUAAGCAUAAGAAGGAACUUCACUGUAAUUAUGAUAUUCUAACCAAGAAUAUAUGCAUAUCUAGGCAAUAACCAAAGUGAAUAGAAUAAAAUUUAAUUCCUGAUAGAUUAAAUAGGCAAUAGCAAGGAAUGCUAACGCUCCUCAUAGCGUUCUUGUUGGAAGAAUCAUCUAGGAGGCAUUGGGAUUUCUGGUGCUUUUUAAGCAAUGAGAGAUAUCAGUCCACUGAAUGAGGAAGAGAAUAACGUUUAGUUUCGGACUAAAAGUUCAUCUGGACUACGGAAAACACGUUUGCCUCAAUCAGUGAAGAAGGUAUGCUGAGAGCUGAAAGAAAAGGAAAGCAGCAACAGUGAGAGCUCAGAAAUUCCCAGACUGUUUUGAUGAUAAGGUCCAAGAACUUGCCAUGUGAUCCAUCACUACUAGACUCCCACAACUGCAUUAGAUUUGUUCAGGAUUUUCAUAUAAUUUUCAUAACUGGCUAAGUUCUGAAAUAACCCAUCUUGAAGACAUAAACAAUGUGCAUUGAUGGCUAGCCAGACUCUGUCCUGCCACAGUUCUCCUCCUACUCUUCAUUUCUUACCCCAAGGAGUAGUAAACAUGAAUCCUGACCCACCAAUGCAGUCCCAGAACUGAGAAAAGAUUCACUGCAGCUAAACACAUUGGAAAUGGAUGGGGAGAAGGCCUGAUGAAAAUUACUGAGGAAGCCUCUUAGCCUAUGUGCUCUGAGAGUAGUGACACCUAGCAGUCGUUCAAAAGAUGAUCAAGAGGAGCAUGAAAAAAUCCCCUGAAUCCAUUGGCUUUCUUCCCUAUACUGACAACAGUUUACUUGUGUAAGAGAUGCAUGCCUCGACUCCGGACCCCUUCUUUCAUCUGCAAAAUCAGCAGCACCCUCACAUCAUCUCCUGUAACAAACUCUCUCUGUCUCCUCCAUAUAAGGUCACUGAUGGUUACAUUUAGGGUCCAUGAUAUAAGAAGAUGGAUGUCUAUUGCUUUUCUCUUGAUAUUCAUGGCACUGCUCCUCUCCAUCCAUAGGAUUAUCUUAUAGAUGAGGGUCUCAUCCUUUUGCCCAGGCUGGAGUACAG
rnacentral:lncRNA from 1 species